AACAAAAACAUGUCCUUUAGAAUAGAAUUUAAGGUCUAACCUGCCCAUUGAGGAAUUAAAAGGCCGCAGUAUUUUGACUGUGCAAAGGUAGCAUAAUCAUUAGUUUUUUAAUUGAAAGCUUGUAUGAAUGGUUGGACGAGAUAUUAACUGUCUUUAAAUUAUAGUUAGAAUUUAAUUUUUAAGUUAAAAAGCUUAAAUAUGUUUAAAAGACGAUAAGACCCUAUAGAUCUUUAUAGAUUAAUAUAAAUAAUUUUUAUGGAUUAAAAAUUUUUAUAUAUAUUUAUUUAUUUUGUUGGGGUAAUAAAAAGAUUAAAAAAAUUCUUUUUUUUAUUUACAUAGAUAAAUGAUUUUUAUGAUCCAAUUUUAUUGAUUAUAAGAUUAAGUUACCUUAGGGAUAACAGCGUAAUUUUUUUAAAGAGUUCUUAUCGAUAAAAAAGUUUGCGACCUCGAUGUU
rnacentral:rRNA from 1 species